GCAACAACAGCCAGAAGGACCCACCCACAGGAGCUUAAACUGGAGCAGUGGCAUGAGGUGGACAGCAGGACAAGGUGAAGAAAGUUCCAGUUUUCUGACUGGAGGAUUGAAAUGGGGAGCUCCAGCACAUUUGAAAAGUGCCAGGACAUCAUGGAGGAAAAGGAGCUCAGAACACCAGGACAUUGUGGAGGAAAAGGAGCUCAGAACACCAGGACAUCGUGGAGGAAAAGGAGCUCAGAACACCAAAUCCAUGAAGCUGUUUAUGAACGUCUGGGCUCACCUCUGAACUAUGCAUGCAUAGAUCUGACUUGAAACAUAUGUACAAUUUUCAUAAGACUUAAACAAGACCUCAAAUACUGUACCAUAAUAUUCAAAUUGUCCAACAUACAAUCCAAAAUUACUUAAUAUAAGGCCAGGCACAGUA
rnacentral:lncRNA from 1 species